UACGUAGGUCCCGAGCGUUGUCCGGAUUUAUUGGGCGUAAAGUGAGCGCAGGUGGUUUAUUAAGUCUGGUGUAAAAGGCAGUGGCUCAACCAUUGUAUGCAUUGGAAACUGGUAGACUUGAGUGCAGAAGAGGAGAGUGGAAUUCCAUGUGUAGCGGUGAAAUGCGUAGAUAUAUGGAGGAACACCGGUGGCGAAAGCGGCUCUCUGGCCUGUAACUGACACUGAGGCUCGAAAGCGUGGGGAGCAAACAGG
rnacentral:rRNA from 1 species